GACGAACGCUGGCGGCGUGCUUAACACAUGCAAGUCGAACGGAAAGGCCCUGCUUGCCGGGUACUCGAGUGGCGAACGGGUGAGUAACACGUGGGUGAUCUGCCCUGCACUUCGGGAUAAGCCUGGGAAACUGGGUCUAAUACCGGAUAGGAGCCAUUUUUAGGGGGAGGGUUGGAAAGUUUUUUCGGUGUAGGAUGAGCUCGCGGCCUAUCAGCUUGUUGGUGGGGUAAUGGCCUACCAAGGCGGCGACGGGUAGCCGGCCUGAGAGGGUGGACGGCCACAUUGGGACUGAGAUACGGCCCAGACUCCUACGGGAGGCAGCAGUGGGGAAUAUUGCACAAUGGGCGCAAGCCUGAUGCAGCGACGCCGCGUGGGGGAUGACGGCCUUCGGGUUGUAAACUCCUUUCGCCAGGGACGAAGCUUUUUGUGACGGUACCUAGAGAAGAAGCACCGGCUAACUACGUG
rnacentral:rRNA from 1 species